CUGCGGCAAGUUAGAAGCUGGUUGCGUCCAGAUGCCCGACUUCUCUAGUCUCAGUCCUCAGGUCCACCGCCCUGCCCUCCCCACCAGGGAUGAUGGUGUGUGUGGAGGCCUUGGGUGCCCGAAGCCGCACUGGCUACUCCUGGGAACAGGGCCGCGGCCGUUCUUCGUUUUUCUUUCUUUAAAGCUUUUAAGAGGAAGCGGCCCUUGAUGUGGGAGUUCUCUCGUCUGCAUCGAGCUUUGCGGAGGACUUUGAUGGUGGUCCCUGGGCUAUUUCAGCGUGCAGUCAGCUGUAGCAUUUUAAGUCCCACGGAGGUUUUGGGGAGGUAAAGGCAGAUAAAUGGCAGCAAAGCGCUGAUGCUGACAAGAUGACCAAAGGAAGUUCUGAAGAAUGCAGCCGGAAAGAGUACAGGUCUUCCACUCUGUGAGGAAGAACAAUAUGCCUGCCUCAGAGAUGACAGCUGGCCAUAUGGCUAAAUUGGGCCAAUGAGAUAGGAACAGAAUCUUCCAGGAAAGCACUCUGAAGAGACUUCCUCUUUUCUGCUCUUUGAAGUGUGGAUGUGAUGGCUGCAUUUUCAGCAUGCGCUUUUGAGUACCUGGUGAUCUUGGAGGUGGAAGCUAUGAACCAAUGUCCCUGUACACUCUUCUUUUACCUGACAGAAAUAAAAGAUGUUGUCUAAGACACAAUUUUGAAUUCCCAAGUUAUAUGCAGCCACACCUACUCUGA